AUUGAACGCUGGCGGCAGGCCUAACACAUGCAAGUCGAACGGUAACAGGAAGAAGCUUGCUUCUUUGCUGACGAGUAGCGGACGGGUGAGUAAUGUCUGGGAAACUGCCUGAUGGAGGGGGAUAACUACUGGAAACGGUAGCUAAUACCGCAUAACGUCGCAAGACCAAAGAGGGGGACCUUCGGGCCUCUUGCCAUCGGAUGUGCCCAGAUGGGAUUAGCUAGUAGGUGGGGUAACGGCUCACCUAGGCGACGAUCCCUAGCUGGUCUGAGAGGAUGACCAGCCACACUGGAACUGAGACACGGUCCAGACUCCUACGGGAGGCAGCAGUGGGGAAUAUUGCACAAUGGGCGCAAGCCUGAUGCAGCCAUGCCGCGUGUAUGAAGAAGGCCUUCGGGUUGUAAAGUACUUUCAGCGGGGAGGAAGGGAGUAAAGUUAAUACCUUUGCUCAUUGACGUUACCCGCAGAAGAAGCCCGGCUAACUCCGUGCCA
rnacentral:rRNA from 1 species